CGUACGGGUGCGGAACACGUGUGCAACCUGCCUUUAUCUGGGGGAUAGCCUUUCGAAAGGAAGAUUAAUACCCCAUAAUAUGUUGAAUGGCAUCAUUCGACAUUGAAAGCUCCGGCGGAUAGAGAUGGGCACGCGCAAGAUUAGAUAGUUGGUGAGGUAACGGCUCACCAAGUCAAUGAUCUUUAGGGGGCCUGAGAGGGUGAUCCCCCACACUGGUACUGAGACACGGACCAGACUCCUACGGGAGGCAGCAGUGAGGAAUAUUGGACAAUGGGUGAGAGCCUGAUCCAGCCAUCCCGCGUGAAGGAUGACGGCCCUAUGGGUUGUAAACUUCUUUUGUACAGGGAUAAACCUGCCCUCGUGAGGGUAGCUGAAGGUACUGUACGAAUAAGCACCGGCUAACUCCGUGCCAGCAGCCGCGGUAAUACGGAGGGUGCAAGCGUUAUCCGGAUUUAUUGGGUUUAAAGGGUCCGUAGGCGGAUCUGUAAGUCAGUGGUGAAAUCUCACAGCUUAACUGUGAAACUGCCAUUGAUACUGCAGGUCUUGAGUAAAUUUGAAGUGGCUGGAAUAAGUAGUGUAGCGGUGAAAUGCAUAGAUAUUACUUAGAACACCAAUUGCGAAGGCAGGUCACUAAGAUUUAACUGACGCUGAGGGACGAAAGCGUGGGGAGCGAACAGGNNNNNAUACCCUGGUANNNCACGCCGUANACNNNGCUAACUC
rnacentral:rRNA from 1 species